rnacentral:rRNA from 1 species
GUCGGCGACAAUUGCGUAGAGGUCACACCCGUUCCCAUCCCGAACACGGUCGUUAAGCUCUACUGCGCGGAUGGUACUGCCGGGGUCGCCCGGUGGGAGAGUACGUCGUUGCCGGCU